GAGGAAAAGAAACUAACAAGGAUUCCCCUAGUAACUGCGAGUGAAGCGGGAAAAGCUCAAAUUUAAAAUCUGGUAGUCUUUGGCUGCCUGAGUUGUAAUCUAGAGAAGUGUUAUCCGCACUGGACCGUGUACAAGUCUCCUGGAAUGGAGCGUCAUAGAGGGUGAGAAUCCCGUCUUUGACACGGACUACCAGGGCUUUGUGAUGCGCUCUCAAAGAGUCGAGUUGUUUGGGAAUGCAGCUCUAAAUGGGUGGUAAAUUCCAUCUAAAGCUAAAUAUUGGCGAGAGACCGAUAGUGAACAAGUACCGUGAGGGAAAGAUGAAAAGAACUUUGGAAAGAGAGUUAAACAGUACGUGAAAUUGUUGAAAGGGAAACGCUUGAAGUCAGUCGUGUUGGCCAGGGAUCAACCUUGCUUCUUGCUUGGUGUACUUUCUGGUUAAUGGGUCAGCAUCAAUUUUGACCAGUGGAAAAAGACUAGGGGAAUGUGGCAUCUUCGGAUGUGUUAUAGCCCUUGGUUGCAUACACUGGUUGGGAUUGAGGAACUCAGCACGCCGCAAGGCCGGGUUUUUACCACGUUCGUGCUUAGGAUGCUGGCAUAAUGGCUUUAAUCGACCCG
rnacentral:rRNA from 1 species